rnacentral:rRNA from 1 species
UACGAAGGGGGCUAGCGUUGUUCGGAAUUACUGGGCGUAAAGCGCACGUAGGCGGAUACUUAAGUCAGGGGUGAAAUCCCGAGGCUCAACCUCGGAACUGCCUUUGAUACUGAGGAUCUUGAGUACGGGAGAGGUGAGUGGAACUGCGAGUGUAGAGGUGAAAUUCGUAGAUAUUCGCAAGAACACCAGUGGCGAAGGCGGCUCACUGGCCCGUUACUGACGCUGAGGCACGAAAGCGUGGGGAGCAAACAGG